rnacentral:lncRNA from 1 species
UACACUGCUCAAAACAACGGGAAAUGAUCCCUACUAUAUCAUACAUCAGCUAAAUUACAUCACCCAGCUGCAAUGACCAAAACUGCACAACAACAGCUCAGAAAAAUCACAAUUCUGCCCAUACGCGUAUUGCCUAGUCCCAUACGCGUAUGGCCCAUUUCUCAGCCAAUCCCAUACGCGUAUUGUCUGCCUCAUACGCGUAUGCUACGCGUACCACUUCCUCAUACGCGUACCAACAGAGACAAAACCACGUUCAAAAC